GGCAACUGGUUGAAAAAUAUAAAUCCAAUCAACGGCUGGGAUUUCUGAAAAUCCGCGUGUCGGCAGUUCGAUUCUGCCCCUGGCCACCA
rnacentral:tRNA from 1 species